UAUGAUAUAGGCAAAGAAAUAUUUUAGUUUGAGCAAACCAUGAAACAAUUUCUAAAAGCAUAAGUCAAUCAAUAUAUAUAUAUAGACAUGAUAUCAAAAAUUAAUAAUUAAAGACCUUAAUCAUGCCAUAAUAAGAUUUAAGUUAUUGAUUUUGCUCAAUUAAUUUAUGAGAGAAGUAUCUAGAAUUACCAAUUCAUUCUGCAUUCUUCAGUCAAAUACCUACUAGAUUUCUUAUGUAUGAACUUUUGGCUGAAGAAGGUCCUCUCUCUUGUUUGCAUGUGAAUGUUUAUUGUAUCUUACAUGGAGAUAUCCUUCAAGUUGAGAUCUCUCAUUUUCUUGCUCAAGGAUCCUGCAUUAUUAAC
rnacentral:lncRNA from 1 species